rnacentral:pre_miRNA from 1 species
CAUGUACUCCCUCCGUUCCGAAAUACUUGUCUUGGAUUUGUCUAGAUACGGAUGUAUUUAGACUCAUUUUAGUGCUAGAUACCUCCGUAUCUAGACAAAUCUAAGACAAGUAAUUCGGAACGGAGGGAGUAGGAG